GGAAGUAAAAGUCGUAACAAGGUCUCCGUAGGUGAACCUGCGGAGGGAUCAUUACACAAAUAUGAAGGCGGGCUGGAACCUCUCGGGGUUACAGCCUUGCUGAAUUAUUCACCCUUGUCUUUUGCGUACUUCUUGUGUCGGGUGGUGGGUUCGCCCACCACUAGGACAAACAUAAACCUUUUGUAAUUGCAAUCAGCGUCAGUAACAAAUUAAUAAUUACAACUUUCAACAACGGAUCUCUUGGUUCUGGCAUCGAUGAAGAACGCAGCGAAAUGCGAUAAGUAGUGUGAAUUGCAGAAUUCAGUGAAUCAUCGAAUCUUUGAACGCACAUUGCGCCCUUUGGUAUUCCAAAGGGCAUGCCUGUUCGAGCGUCAUUUGUACCCUCAAGCUUUGCUUGGUGUUGGGCGUCUUGUCUCUAGCUUUGCUGGAGACUCGCCUUAAAGUAAUUGGCAGCCGGCCUACUGGUUUCGGAGCGCAGCACAAGUCGCACUCUCUAUCAGCAAAGGUCUAGCAUCCAUUAAGCCUUUUUUUCAACUUUUGACCUCGGAUCAGGUAGGGAUACCCGCUGAACUUAAGCAUAUCAAUAAGCGGAGGAAUC
rnacentral:rRNA from 1 species